CUGACAGCAAGUUGACUGUCAGGAAUUCUUGUCGGUUUACAGAAACAACAGUGCCGAGUGAUUGGCUGUACAUUAUUAACCUAUAGGAUGCCAGUAACAGCAUCUGGUGUGGCAUCAUUAGGCUGACUCAUACCUGUAGGGUUCAGGGCAUGGGGUAUGGAGUCCAGUGGAUGUCACUAGGUUGAUUCAUAACUGGAGGGUACAUGGCAUGGGGUACAGUGUCCAGUGUAUGUCACUAGGUUGACUCAUAACUGUAGGGUACAAGGUAUGGGGUAAGGUGUCUGGUGCAUGUUACUAGGUUGACUCACAGCUGUAGGGUACAGGGCAUGGGGUACGGUGUCCAGUGUAUGUCACUAGGUUGACUCAUAACUGUAGGGUACAGGGCAUGGAGUACGGUGUCCAAUGUAUGUCACUAGGUUGACUCAUAACUGUAGGGUACAGGGCAUGGAGUACGGUGUCCAAUGUAUGUCACUAGGUUGACUCAUAACUGUAGGGUACAGGGCAUGGAGUACGGCAUCCGGUGCAUGUCACUAGAUUGACUCAACUGUAGGGUACAGGGUAUGGGGUAAGGUGUCUGGUGCAUGUCACUAGGUUGACUCACAGCUGUAGGGUACAGGGCAUGGGGUAAGGUGUCUGGUGCAUGUCACUAGGUUGACUCACAGCUGUAGGGUACAGGGUAUGGGGUAUGGUGUCCGGUGCAUGUCACUAGGUUGACUCACAGCUGUAGGGUACAGGGCAUGGGGUACGGUGUCUGGUGCAUGUCACUAGGUUGACUCAUAACUGUAGGGUACAGGGCACGGGGUACAGUGUCUGACGUGGUAUCACUACAUUGAUUCAUAGCUACUUGUAGCAGCAGCAAGCAGUUUCAAGAGAUGCACGCAUAAGGUCAAGGGGUGUAUGUGAUGUGACUGCUGCCUGAUUUUACUGUCUCUCUGGACCUAAUAGUUUAAAAGGAUUCAUACUCCUGAGAUAAAAGUUCUUUUCUCAGCCAUAUGUAGAAAGCUGAAACUGGAUCUCUU
rnacentral:lncRNA from 10 species